AUGGCGCCGCCCAGCUCGCCGCCCUCGGCCGCCGCGCCCGCGCGGUCCUCCUCCCGCAAGCGCUCCGCCUCCGCCAAGGCCGCGCCCGAGGAGGCCACGGUCACCAAGCGCCCCCGCAAGGGCACCACCUCCGGCAAGAAGAAGCCGGCGCCCAAGGCGGCGGGCAAGAAGAAGCAGCAGAAGGCCACCAAGGCGCCGCGGGAGAAGAAGGAGAAGGCGGCGGAGGAGCGGCCCGAGGACGAGGUGUGCGCGGAGGAGCCCGACGAGGAGGAGCUGGCCCUCGGCGAGGAGGACGAGCCCUCCGCCUCCGGCGAGCAGCAGCCGCGGGAGGAGGGGCAGGCGGCCAAGAGGCGCGUGGCGCAGCCGUCCAAGAAGGCCCGGAACGUCGCCGCCGGCGACAAGGAGCCCGAGUUCCUCGGCGAGCCCGUCCCCGCCGACGAGGCCCGCGCCAAGUGGCCCCAGCGCUACCAGCGCGGCUCCCCCAAGAGGCCGGAGGAUGAGGAGGACAUGAAGGCGCGCGUCCACUACCGCUCCGCCAUGGUCGAUGGCGUGGUCUACGCGCUGGGCGACGACGUCUACGUCAUGGCUGGGGAAAAUGAGGCUGAUUACAUUGGCAGAAUAACUGAGUUUUUUGAGGGUGUUGACAAGACCAGCUACUUUACCUGUCGUUGGUACUUCCGUCCAGAGGACACGGUUAUAUCUAGAGCCAAAUUUGUCAAUGAUCACACACAUGACCCAAAGCGUGUCUUUCUCUCCGAGGAAAAGAAUGAUAAUCUGCUUGAUUGCAUCAUAUCAAAGGUCAAGAUAAUCCAUGUUGAUCCCAAUAUGGACCCAGCAGCCAAGGCCAAACUGGUGGCUCGCACUGACUUAUACUAUGACAUGUCAUAUACAGUUGCUUAUUCUACAUUUGCUAACAUCCCAUCAGACACCACAGAGAAUUCUGGUAUUUCUACUGAUGCUGAUUCAGAGAAUGGGACCCCAGUAAAAACGGCAUCCCUCCUUGACCUGUAUUCUGGUUGUGGUGGGAUGUCAACAGGGCUGUGCUUGGGUUCAGCACUUGCUGGCCUGAAACUUGAAACAAAAUGGGCUGUUGACCUGAACAACUUUGCAUGCAAGAGCCUUAAAUAUAACCAUCCCAAAACAGAGGUUCGAAAUGAAAAAGCCGAGGAUUUUCUUGCACUUCUUAAGGAAUGGGCGAUUCUAUGUGACAAAUAUGUCCAUAGCAAUGAUUCUGAUGCAGCAGAUCCUGUUGAGGAAGAGGAAGAUGAUGAGCCUCUUGGAAAGGAUGAGUUUGUGGUGGAAAAGCUACUUGAGAUCUGCUAUGGUGGCACUGGGAGGAAAAAUGGAAUCCAUUUUAAGGUUCAAUGGAAAGGAUAUGGCCCAGAAGAGGAUACCUGGGAGCCCAUAGAAAACCUGAGUGACUGCCCAUUGAAAAUUAAAGAGUUUGUGCAAGAAGGGUACAGGCGAAACAUUCUACCCCAGCCUGGUCAGGUUGAUGUUAUUUGUGGUGGCCCGCCCUGCCAAGGGAUAAGUGGGUUCAACCGAUUUAGAAACCGUGAUAACCCUUUAGAAGAUGAGAAAAAUCAACAAAUGGUUACCUAUAUGGACAUUGUUUCUUAUCUGCAACCAAAGUUUGUCUUGAUGGAGAAUGUGGUGGACAUUCUGAAAUUUGCCGAUGGCUAUCUUGGAAGAUAUGCAUUGAGCCGUCUUGUAUCCCUGAACUACCAAGCCCGCCUUGGAAUGAUGGUAGCUGGUUGCUACGGGCUUCCUCAGUUCAGAAUGCGGGUGUUCCUUUGGGGAGCUCUCCCUACCAUGGUCCUCCCAAAGUAUCCUCUCCCUACUCAUGAUGUAGUUGUACGUGGUGGUGCUCCAAAUGCUUUCUCGCAAAGCAUUGUUGCAUAUGAUGAGACGCAAAGACCGACUUUGAAGAAAGCUCUCCUUCUUGGUGAUGCCAUUUCAGAUUUGCCCAAGGUAGACAACUGUCAGCCUCAUGAGGUAAUUGAAUAUGGUGGUCAACCCAAGACUGACUUCCAGCGCUACAUUCGACUUAGUCGUAAAGAUAUGUUGGACUAUUCCUUUGGUGAUGCCACUUGUCCUGAAGAAGGAAAGCUCUUGGACCACCAGCCUUUGAGGCUAAACCAAGAUGAUUAUGACCGCGUCCAGCAGAUUCCGAUAAAGAAGGGGGCAAACUUCCGUGACUUGCCAGGCGUCAAGGUCGGAGCGAAUAACAUUGUGGAGUGGGAUCCAGAUGUUGAGCGUGUCUACCUCAAGUCCGGCAAGCCUUUGGUCCCUGACUAUGCAAUGUCCUUCAUCAAGGGCAGAUCACCAAAGCCGUUUGGUCGGUUGUGGUGGGAUGAGACAGUUCCCACGGUGGUGACCAGAGCAGAGCCCCAUAACCAGAUCAUACUGCACCCGAAUCAGGGACGUGUUUUGACUGUCCGUGAGAACGCAAGGCUGCAGGGUUUCCCUGACUACUACCGGAUGUAUGGUCCCAUGAAGGAGAAGUACAUCCAAGUCGGUAAUGCGGUGGCUGUCCCGGUUGCACGGGCUCUGGGCUACUCCUUGGGCCGAGCAUACCAGGGCGAGGUGGACGCGGGGUAUGAUGCGCUGUUUGUUCUUCCUGACAGCUUCACCAACAUCGGACAGACCGGUGCGAGGGCAAGGGCCUCCUCCGUUGGGACCCCUGCAGGCGAGGUUGUUGAGCAGUAG
rnacentral:rRNA from 1 species